CUUGGCACUACCCACAGGGGACAUUUUGACAUCACUACAUCUUGUACCCAGGUGGUGUGAAUCUUCUCUCCAGCCUUGGCUCUUCCACAGGGGACAUUGUGUCAUAUGGCUGGGCCCCACACAUAGGUUAUAUGACUCUCCUGCCUGUGCCCUGCCCAUGUGGGCCACUGUGACUUUUGCUGAGUCCAACACCCAGGUGAUGUAACUCUACUGCCUAGGUCCUGCCUACAGAAGAUCUUGUGACAUAUCCCUGCACCCAUCACACAGGAGGGGAUUGUAGCAUAUUCCUAAUGGAGCACCAAGGUGAUGUGACACUGCUGCCUGGUCCCUGCCCUCAGAGAAGAUUGUGACAUAUCACUGCCCCGAAACCCAGGUGUGAUUGUUACAUACACCUCUGCCCAGCACCUGAGUGAUUUGACUCUUCUGCUUGGGCCCAGCGUACAGAUGGGAUUGUGCCGCAUUGCUGGACCCAGCACUUAGGUGAUGACAGAAUUGUAACAUAUCCCUGGCUGAGCACUCAGGUGAUGUGACACUCCUGCUUGGCUUCUUCCCUCAGCAGAUUAUGAGAUAUCCAUGGCUGAAAUCCAGGGGGAAUUGUGACAUAUCACUUGGCCCAGUACCAAGCAAGUGUGACUGUUCUAUUCAUCAUAAGUCCUGCUUUCAAGGGAGAUUGGGACAUAUUGUGGGGCUCAACACCAAUGUGACAUUACUGUUUUGCCUUGGCCCAGACCUUAAAGGCACUGUGACGUAUUGCUCGGCUCAGCAACAAGGUGACGAGAGAUCCUGUGUGGACAUUGACAACAGAGAGCAUUGUGACAUAUCUUUGGGAGCAUCAGCUAUUUGAUGUGACUCUCCUUUUAUACCAAGGCUUUGCUCAUAGGGGAGACCGUGAUGUAUCUUCUGGCCCAGAAAUCAGGCGAUGUGUUUCUCCUGCCUGAGCUUUGCUCACAGGGAGCAUUGUGACAUAUCACUGAGCCCAGCACCCAGGUGAUGGGACUCUACUGCCUGUCCCCUGCUUUCAGGAGGAAAUUGUAACAUAUCUCUGACCAAGCACCCAGGUGAUAAGUCUUCUGCCUGGUGCCUGUUCUCAGGGAAGAUUGUGACAUAUCCCUGGCCCAGCAACCAGAUGAUGCAGAUGACGUAUCUCUCCUGCUCACUCUCUAUCCACAGGUUCUGCCCACAAAGGAGAUUGUGGCAUACUGCUGGGCCUAACACUAAGGUGAUGUUACUUCUCUGCUUUGGCUAUGUCCUUAGAAGGCAUUGAGACACACUGCUGGGCCCAGCACCAAGAUGAUGUGAGUCCUCUGCCUGAACCCUGACCACAGGGAGCAUUGUGACAUAUUUCUUGACCCACUGCAAUCUCUCCUAUGGACAAAGCCCAGGCCCUGCUUACAUUGUGUCUGUUGAAAUACGGCUGGUCCAACACCUAGAGGACUGCCUCCUUUUUAAAAUCUCAG
rnacentral:lncRNA from 1 species